UCUUUUCUUAGGUCAUUUUAUUAUUUCUUUUAUCAAGCUUUCCAAAAAAAAUGUCUUUUCAACACACACCAACCUUUGGAACAAAUUCUCCAUUUUUUCUAACCAUAUUGUUAGUAUUAAGAACAUGAACAAGUCUAACCAUUCCACUUGGCCUUCCAAAACAGGUUAUGAUUAAGGACUCUCCAAAUGACUCUACCAUGACUCAAGAUGAUUCUCCAAUACCUCUUCAAGGAUAUAUCAACGCUGCUCACAACCUAUUAUAAUUCCAAUAUGGGAUCCAUCUUUGAUGGAUAUAUAGUGUACGUAUAUCAGUGUUGCUCAAUCCUUCCCUGCUCUAUCUCUCAAUCAGAUCUGGUAUCCUCUCAAAAUGCUUGGCCAAUUGCUAUUCAAAACGGUCUUCAGAUGAAGUUGUAUUUGGCCUAAAGUGGCGACAAACAAUUAUUGAUGAUAUGUGUGUCAUUCAAAAGUAGGGGUCCUCGGGAAUCAAUUCCUCUUUCAGUUGGCAAAUCAAUUGUUAGGUGUUAGUGGUUGUAAACUCAUAAAAUAGGACUUGACAGUAACAUUAAUAGCUAUAAAGCUCGGCUGGUUGUUGAAAGAUAUACACAAAUCUAUGGUCAAGAUUAUGUUGACAUUU